UACAGGGGGUGCAAACGUUGCUCGGAAUUACUGGGCGUAAAGCGUGCGUAGGUGGUUUGUUAAGUCUGAUGUGAAAGCCCUGGGCUCAACCUGGGAAUGGCAUUGGAUACUGGCAGUCUAGAGUGCGGUAGAGGGUAGCGGAACUCCCGGUGUAGCAGUGAAAUGCGUAGAUAUCGGGAGGAACAUCCGUGGCGAAGGCGGCUACCUGGACCAGCACUGACACUGAGGCACGAAAGCGUGGGGAGCAAACAGG
rnacentral:rRNA from 1 species